GAUGAACGCUGGCGGCGUGCCUAAUACAUGCAAGUCGAGCGAACGGACGAGAAGCUUGCUUCUCUGAUGUUAGCGGCGGACGGGUGAGUAACACGUGGAUAACCUACCUAUAAGACUGGGAUAACUUCGGGAAACCGUAGCUAAUCCCGGAUAAUAUUUUGAACCGCAUGGUUCAAAAGUGAAAGACGGUCUUGCUGUCACUUAUAGAUGUAUCCGCGCUGCAUUAGAUAGUUGGUAAGGUAACGGCUUACCAAGGCAACGAUGCAUAGCCGACCUGAGAGGGUGAUCGGCCACACUGGAACUGAGACACGGUCCAGACUCCUACGGGAGGCAGCAGUAGGGAAUCUUCCGCAAUGGGCGAAAGCCUGACGGAGCAACGCCGCGUGAGUGAUGAAGGUCUUCGGAUCGUAAAACUCUGUUAUUAGGGAAGAACAUAUGUGUAAGUAACUGUGCACAUCUUGACGGUACCUAAUCAGAAAGCCACGGCUAACUACGUG
rnacentral:rRNA from 1 species